UGCCCUGUACAGGGGAAUAGCCCGUCGAAAGGCCUUUUAAUGCCCCAUAGCCCUUGGGGGUGGCAUCGCCACCAAGGUAAAGAUUUAUCGGUACAGGAUGGGCAUGCGUGCCAUUAGCUGGACGGUGGGGUAACGGCCCACCGUGGCGACGAUGGCUAGGGGUUCUGAGAGGAAGGCCCCCCACACUGGGACUGAGACACGGCCCAGACUCCUACGGGAGGCAGCAGUGAGGAAUAUUGGUCAAUGGGCGGAAGCCUGAACCAGCCAUGCCGCGUGCGGGAAGAAGACGCUACGCGUCGUAAACCGCUUUUGUCCGGGGGUAACCGCGGGGACGUGUCCCCGCCUGCAAGUACCGGACGAAUAAGGGUCGGCUAACUCCGUGCCAGCAGCCGCGGUAAUACGGAGGACCCGAGCGUUAUCCGGAUUCAUUGGGUUUAAAGGGUGCGCAGGCGGCCCGGUCAGUCAGCGGUGAAAUGCCCGCGCUUCACGCGGGAGCUGCCGUUGAUACUGCCGGGCUAGAAUCUCAGCGAGGCGGGCGGAAUGCGCGGUGUAGCGGUGAAAUGCAUAGAUAUCGCGCAGAACGCCGAUUGGGGAGCCAGCUCGCCAGCUGGGUAUUGACGCUGAGGCACGAAAGCGUGGGGAUCGAACAGGAUUAGAUACCCUGGUAGUCCACGCCGUAAACGAUGAUGGCUCGCUCUUGGCUGGAAACGGUCAGGGGCUUAGCGAAAGCGUUAAGCCAUCCACCUGGGGAGUACGCCGGCAACGGUGAAACUCAAAGGAAUUGACGGGGGCCCCCACAAGCGGAG
rnacentral:rRNA from 1 species